UAUCUGCUCGGAGUCUCAAUUGAAAAAUUGAAGCGGCUGCCGCGAGAUGGCCGCACAACUCCUCCGCGCUCUGCCCAGUAUAGCCUUCCGCUGUAAACACUUCUCACUCAAACCACCUCCAUUGCCUCUUCUAUUCCUAAACUCGCACAGCCCCAGCUUCAAACCCACGCAACCUCCUAAACGCUGCAUUUCAACUCCUUCUGUUUCUGCUUCGUCUCCUUCUCCUUCUUCAACUGAAACACCACUUGUUGCCGCUUCCCCUAAAGUAUCUCGCUCCAUCCCUUCUCUUGAAUGGGUGAGCCGGACCGCUUUCUGCGGUGAAUUGUCAGAAGCUGAUGUGAAUAAACGGGUCAGGCUCUGCGGCUGGGUUGCCCUUCAUCGUGUUCAUGGUGGCCUCACUUUCGUUAAUCUCCGUGACCAUACCGGUGUUGUACAGAUUACGACCCUUCCCAACGAAUUUCCUGAUGCUCAUUCAACAGUGAAUGACUUAAGAGUUGAGUAUGUGGUGGCCGUAGAAGGUGUUGUUCGGCCUCGCCCAAUUGAGUCUGUCAACAAGAAGAUGAGGACUGGUGCAGUAGAGGUGGCUGCUGAGCGUGUCCAUGUUCUGAAUACUGUGAGAUCUAAGCUGCCUUUCUUAGUUACUACUGCAGAUGAUGCCAAAGAAUCUGUAAAGGAGGAAAUUCGCUUGAGAUAUCGAUGCCUUGAUUUGCGCCGGCCACAAAUGACUUCCAACAUUAUAUUGCGGCAUCAAGUGGUAAAACUCAUCCGAAGGUACCUUGAGGAUGUACAUGGUUUUGUGGAGAUUGAGACUCCAAUUCUAUCUAGAUCUACUCCAGAAGGUGCUCGGGAUUAUCUUGUGCCUUCAAGAAUUCAGCCAGGAACAUUUUAUGCCUUGCCCCAAAGUCCGCAGCUGUUCAAACAAAUGUUGAUGGUCUCUGGUUUUGAUAAAUACUAUCAAAUUGCAAGGUGUUUCAGGGAUGAAGAUCUAAGGGCAGAUAGACAACCUGAAUUUACGCAACUAGAUAUGGAGAUGGCUUUCACUCCCUUAGAGGACAUGCUCAGACUUAAUGAAGAUUUGAUUAGGAAGGUUUUCCUUGAGAUCAAAGGUGUCCAGCUACCUGACCCUUUCCCAAGGCUCACUUAUGCUGAAGCCAUGAGCCAAUACGGUUCAGAUAGGCCAGAUACUCGCUUUGAUCUUGGAUUGAAAGAUGUAUCUGAGAUAUUUUCAGAUUCCUCCUUCAAGGCAUUUGCAGAUACCUUGAAGAGUGGGGGAAUUGUUAAAGCCUUGUGUGUCCCUUCAGGAGGAAAGACAUACUCAAAUACUGCUUUGAAGAAAGGUGAUAUUUACAAUGAAGCUAUUAAAUCUGGAGCAAAGGGUUUGCCUUUCUUAAAGGUGUUAGAAGAUGGGGCAAUUGAAGGGAUUUCCCCACUGGUAUCAUGCUUGGACCACACAAAGAAGGACAAGUUACUCAAACACUUAUCUGCGGGAUCAGGUGAUCUCAUCUUGUUUGCAGUGGGUCAGCCUGCAUCAGUAAAUAAAACUUUAGAUAGGCUGAGGUUGUAUGUAGCCCAUGAUUUGGGCUUGAUUGAUCCUUCCAGGCCCUCAAUCCUUUGGGUGACUGAUUUUCCUAUGUUUGAGUGGAAUGAUGCUGAACAGAGGCUUGAGGCCUUGCAUCAUCCUUUCACUGCCCCUAACCCAGAAGAUGUGAAGGAUUUGUUCUCUGCUCGUGCUUUGGCUUAUGACAUGGUAUACAAUGGUGUGGAGAUUGGUGGAGGAAGUUUGAGAAUCUACAAGCGUGACGUCCAAGAACAGGUCUUGGAAAUCAUUGGCAUUUCGCGUGAACAGGCUGAAGCCAAGUUUGGCUAUCUCUUGGAAGCUCUAGAUCUGGGUGCUCCUCCACAUGGAGGGAUAGCUUAUGGGUUAGAUAGAAUGGUCAUGCUGUUGGCAGGCAGUCAUUCGAUCAGGGAUGUCAUUGCUUUCCCAAAGACAACAACUGCACAGUGCGCGUUGACUCGUGCACCUUCACCGGUGGAUACACAACAAUUAGAAGAUCUCUCAUUUCAUGCGACGUAGUUCUCAUGCCCUUGUCCCCAAGGCUUUGUGCCAUUCUAGCCUUGAGAGAUCGAUUUUGAUCAAACGCACAACCAUCUUGAAUCGUUUUAUGCGUUAAAUUCUUGUCAUUUUCGAAAGGGACCUUUCAUACAUAGAAGAAAACCACAAAAAGUUAGGUCCACAAUGCAAACAAGAACAGGUCUGUAAUUUGGUUAAUUAAUUGAGAUCGGCAGCAGGGCAAUCCCAGUUAACCCUUUGUUUCAAUUUGUUUCCCGAACUAUUAGCUGGACUACGUGCUCCCUUAAUUUGAUAACAUUGUUUCAGAUCGUUUCCUGAAC